UUCGUAUUAAAUCAUUACUGUCACGUAUCAUUUUUUGAUUGGAUGUCAACUCCAUGAAAAAUGAAUUGUUUUCAUUAACCAAUCAGAACAUGACACGUGACAAUCAUCAUCA
rfam:Glycine max cultivar Williams 82 chromosome 3, whole genome shotgun sequence.